CUUUGUUCCCUCUUCUGGACGGUUUCGUGUUUGCUUUGAGCACCUGCCAGCGGCCGAGGCAACGUAACGGUGUUUCGCAGGUCUGACCAAGUCACUCAGCUGAAGACCAUGCCAGGGCUGAUUUGGGCUGUUGAAGUGGUAAUGUUCCUGUUUGCUUCUGCUGCAGCUGAGUACAAAACUGGAUCCACAGACGUUGUGUUGCGAGGAACACGCCAAGACACAGCGCUCUCAACUGAGCACUUCUCAGUAACAACCCUUACUGUGGUUGAAGGAUGAGACACGAGAGGACUGAAGAAAGGACGGGCGAUACAAGCGGAGAGCGUAUAGUGCAGGAACAUUCAAACAUUUGCAUGAUUUCUGGAGCUCAUUUUCACUGGAUGCCAGCAGGACAUCAGAAUAGUAGGUACCUUAUAUAAGUCUACCAACGCAAAAGCAUGUAAAGUAUCCUGUUAAAUCUCCAAUAUAUAUGAGGAAUGAUUAGUAGCAAGUUAAAACAUUCUUUCUCUAAAACUUACCAGUUGUUCUACUGACCAUUUGCUCCGUAAUUCCAGCCCAAAAUGUACCAUUUCUUUUACCAUAAGAAAAAUAAAUAAUUUAAGUAAGCAAAUAAUGUAACUAAC
rnacentral:lncRNA from 1 species